rnacentral:piRNA from 1 species
CUCAACAUCAAAACUUAAUCA